UACACAUGCAGUCGAACGGUAACAGGUCUUUCGGGAUGCUGACGAGUGGCGAACGGGUGAGUAAUACAUCGGAACGUGCCUAGUAGUGGGGGAUAACUACUCGAAAGAGUGGCUAAUACCGCAUGAGAUCUAUGGAUGAAAGCAGGGGACCUUCGGGCCUUGUGCUACUAGAGCGGCCGAUGGCAGAUUAGGUAGUUGGUGGGAUAAAAGCUUACCAAGCCUACGAUCUGUAGCUGGUCUGAGAGGACGAUCAGCCACACUGGGACUGAGACACGGCCCAGACUCCUACGGGAGGCAGCAGUGGGGAAUUUUGGACAAUGGGGGAAACCCUGAUCCAGCAAUGCCGCGUGCAGGAUGAAGGCCUUCGGGUUGUAAACUGCUUUUGUACGGAACGAAAAGUCUUGGGUUAAUACCCUGGGAUCAUGACGGUACCGUAAGAAUAAGCACCGGCUAACUACGUGCCAGCAGCCGCGNUAAUACGUAGGGUGCAAGCGUUAAUCGGAAUUACUGGGCGUAAAGCGUGCGCAGNGGUUUUGUAAGACAGUGGUGAAAUCCCCGGGCUCAACCUGGGAACUGCCAUUGUGACUGCAAGGCUGGAGUGCGGCAGAGGGGGAUGGAAUUCCGCGUGUAG
rnacentral:rRNA from 1 species